UACGGAGGAUGCAAGCGUUAUCCGGAAUGAUUGGGCGUAAAGCGUCCGAAGGUGGUUAUACAAGUCGGCUGUAAAAGCGCAAGGCUCAACCUUGUAAAGGCAGUGGAAACUGUGUGACUAGAGAGUGAUAGGGGCAGAGGGAAUUCCCAGUGUAGCGGUGAAAUGCGUAGAGAUUGGGAAGAACACCGGUGGCGAAAGCGCUCUGCUGGGUCAUAUCUGACACUGAGGGACGAAAGCUAGGGGAGCGAAAGGG
rnacentral:rRNA from 1 species